GAUGAACGCUAGCGGCAGGCCUAAUACAUGCAAGUCGAACGAUAGUGAGAAGCUUGCUUCUCACGAAAGUGGCGCACGGGUGCGUAACGCGUAUGCAACCUACCUUAAUCAGGGGGAUAGCCCGAAGAAAUUCGGAUUAACACCGCAUAAAAUCACAGUAUAGCAUUAUACAAUGAUCAAAUAUUUAUAGGAUUAAGAUGGGCAUGCGUGACAUUAGUUAGUUGGCGGGGUAACGGCCCACCAAGACCACGAUGUCUAGGGGAUCUGAGAGGAUGACCCCCCACACUGGUAAUGAGACACGGAUCAGAAUCCUACGGGAGGCAGCAGUAAGGAAUAUUGGUCAAUGGAGGCAACUCUGAACCAGCCAUGCCGCGUGCAGGAAGACAGCCCUCUGGGUCGUAAACUGCUUUUAUUCGGGAAUAAACCUAUCUACGUGUAGAUAGCUGAAUGUACCGAAGGAAUAAGGAUCGGCUAACUCCGUGCCAGCCGCCGCAGUAA
rnacentral:rRNA from 1 species